rnacentral:rRNA from 1 species
AUUGAACGCUGGCGGCAGGCCUAACCCAUGCAAGUCGAACGAUCGGCGGACGGGUGAGUAAUUUCUGGGAAUCUGCCUGAUGGAGGGGGAUAACUACUGGAAACGGUAGCUAAUACCGCAUACCAUCUGAUGAACCCAGAUGGGAUUAGCUAGUAGGUGGGGUAAAGGCUCACCAAGGCGACGAUCUCUAGCUGGUCUGAGAGGAUGAUCAGCAACCCUGGUACGGAGACACGGUCCAGACUCCUAAGGGAGGCAGCAGUGGGGAAUAGUGCACAAUGGGCGCAAGCCUGAGGCAGCCAGGCCGCGUGUAUGAAGAAGGCCUUAGGGUGGUAAAGUACUUUCAGCGGGGAGGCGUUACCCGCAGAAGAAGCACCGGCUAACGCCGUGCCAGCAGCCGCGGUAAUUC